rnacentral:rRNA from 1 species
UACGUAGGGAGCGAGCGUUGUCCGGAAUCAUUGGGCGUAAAGAGCGCGUAGGUGGAUCAAUUAGUCUGCUGUGAAAGUCAAAGGCUCAACCUUUGAAAGCCGGUGGAUACUGUUGAUCUAGAGUACGGAAGAGGCGAGUGGAAUUCCAGGUGUAGCGGUGAAAAUGCGUAGAUAUCUGGAGGAAUGCCGGUGGCGAAGGCGGCAUCCUGGACCAUUACUGACGCUGAGGCGCGAAAAGCUAGGGGAGCAAACGGG